UGAAGACCUGAAAGGAGAAGAGAAAGAAAUCUCGAAUCAGCAGCCACGUGUGAUAGGUCCCUGAGCUGGUCCCCUGCCUGUGUGGGGGAAAAAAGAGACACUUCUUUGGGGCUUCCAAUCUAGGGCUGCCUCACCCUCCAGGGCCCCGCCCUCCUGGCUCAGCUUGGGAACAAGUUCCUGGAAGUACCUACAUCUUUGCAGUUUUCCGACUUGGAGAAGUGGAUCAGGUCAUCGUUGUACAUGUCCUGGGUGUUGAGCAGGUCACUGUAUUCCUUCUGGCUGAGGUCUUCUGGGUUGAUGCCAUUGGCCCUGAGGAAUUCCUGGUACGCAACACUGAAUGCCUGUCCUAUGGACUGCGCGAUCAGCUGGGCCUAUAGCAGCACAGGGGAAGAUAGAGGUAUUUGUCCGAGUGGUGGAAGUCGGCAGUGGUGGAGAGCUGACUAACACACUCAGCUCAGAAAGCCUGAGGGUCAAACUGCUACUUUGCUUUCCUGGUGCAGCCCUGCUGGGAGUCAGGGGGCAAGAUGCACGUCUGUGAGUCUCAGGAGCUUCUCUUCAAAGAAUUGGACUUCCUGCUUUCCAUCAUCCCGGAAGAGGCUCAUUUUAAGAGAAGACGUACAUUAUGGAGGGGGCCUCAAGGCACAGGCAAGGCUUGUGCGUCACAGAUGAAGUGCCUGAAUGGAGCCGGACACAUGGAAUAACUGUUAAGCCAGACUCAACACUAAGGUUGCUAUCAGUGCAGUGACCUAUGAGGGAGCUGUAAACCAUUCCCUGGGUUGUACAUCCUAAUUCCUAACAAAUCAAUGGUAACUUCAAGUCACAGCUUACUAUAUGUUCUAUGGGCAGCUAAGGAGAGGAUGGCUCUGAGCUUGAGAGAGAAGUGUUUGCUCUCCAAGUGACGUUGUCACAUGAGCGACAGACACUCAGAGGCUGCGCUGGUGCCAUGGGAAGCUGCUUGAUAAGGAAGCAAGAAGAGGGGUGAGGGAACACCACGGAGCACUCUGGGGAGCACCCUGGGGAGCACUCUGGGGAGCACCAAGCAGCUGCAGACUUAAGAUGCUUAAUCUUAUUAUUGAUUCUAGGGACAGGACUUGUGAUGGAGCCCAGGCGCCUUCCUGUCUUAGCCUCCUGAGCACGGGAAUGGCAGCCCUGGCUGUAACGGUGAGUCUUGACUGCUGUGGGUGGAAGCUAGGAGAUGAGCCUUGCAGCGUAGACACGCACUCACGCUUGCUGCCUGUCUGCUUUCUGGCUGCCAAGGGGUAAGUAGCUUGGCUUUUUUCCACCUUCCAGCCAAGAAGCUCUUCUCCACCACAGCCCAGAAACAACACUUAGCUGAGCACGGGCUCUGCAGCUGUGAACUAAAGACAAUCCUUUCUCUCAAAACAGAACACUGGUGCUAGGGGAGGCGCUGUCUUCAUGACCCCUGAUCACAAGGCUCAGCCGCUUUCACAAGCAGUUUGUGGGAAGAGUCUGCAGAUGUGUGUUAGCAUCCCCAGAAUUCUCUCCCCAGGGAUUAAGGGUUACUGAUGGCAAGAGUUUGGAUAAUACACCGUGGACAGUAAAAACUGCUCAUGGCAUUUCAAAUGGAAAUGAGGAAUUUAUUUGGAAACUGGACUAGUGGCCAUUUGUGUGAGAUUUUGUCCAUAUGCCAAGACUUUGUGUUAGGUUCUAUUUAAAUCUAGCAGAGGGAAUUUUAAGACAGCCUCCGUUCAGGCUAUUGCAUGGGCACUGAUGUUGCUCUGGGUUAGAUUUACAGUUAGAAUGGGGAGUAGAGGCAGGGUGGAAAGACAUGAGAACCUUGCAGUUUGCUUUAAAGUCCAAGAAAAGUUUGAGUUAUGGAAGGCAUGGUUUCUAAAAAGUUAAGUUCCCAGCAGAAGAGAAGUACUUCGUUGCAAGAUGCCUUGAAGGCAACUUAGGAACCAGCAGGCUUUUUAUUCAUUGUAAGUUCAGUGAUGUGAGAAUGUAAAUUGACUUGAAAGACUUUCCCUGGAAAGAGAAGACUGCUGGGGUGCUCUGAAUGCAUACAGAUGCCUAGGGAGUUGUUACCAUGGAAAUCAUUUUGUUGUGCUUAGCUGCCCAGACACUCAGAGGCUCCUGUAGCCAUGACCCAAGGAGGUCCAGCUACUGCUUGGGCUGGUGUCGGAUAUUGGUGUUGUCCAUGUGAUACCAGUUUGUGGGGAGCCCUCAAGGUAUGUGAAAAUAUGAGGGUGAAGACAGAUGAAAUGGAGAUGCCAGCAAAGCAGAUGCAAAACCAGGAACUCUGAGCCACUAAAGCCCCAGCCUUCGGAGACAAACCUUGUGGGCUACUGUUGGCCAGGCUGCAGGGGAUGUGGCCCGGAAGGUCACACUCUGCCACCACAUUCCUCCAGAUGCUGGACACAAGGCUACAGGGUUUUGCUAGCUGCUGGGUUUGGGUCUAGCUAUUCAAGUCCUCCCUGUCAUUCGUGUACUCUUCCCUUUUGGAAUGCUGAUGUUUAUCCGCAGUCACUGCACACUGGAAGUGUUUAACUGGCUUUUCACAGGGGCUCACAGUUGAUAGUUUGUCUAGUGUGCCAGGGGAGAUGUGGGGGAGUUAAUAUCCUCACUCCUUUCUUCACUUGGAGAUUAAUUAUGGCUCGAACAGGUACGUCUAGGCGUUACCGUGGGAAGAGGUGCGCUUAUGAAUGAUGGUUAUUCUUGUCUACUUGAUUCUUGAUUGGUCUGAGAGACAGCAAGUAGUUAGGAGAGUGCACGGGUGGGUGCUGGGGAGGGUGUGUGAAGAGAGGAUUGGCAUGUGGCUCUUCUGUUUGUCUCAGUGAGGUGAGCAGUGGGUCUCCCCGUGCUUUUCUGCCCCACGGCCAAACACCCACCAGCUAAGGCCUCUGAAACCACGAGCUGCAGUAAAUCUUGCUUCCUUUCAGAUGGUUUCUCUCAGGCGUGCACCUCCUUCCCUUCUAACCUCUAGGGUACUCCUGUGGCAUUCCACGUCUGACAUCCUCUCCUCCUGACACCUGGUGUCUCUACUGACUGGUUUAUUCCCUCUGAGCAGUUGUGGUUAGAGGUGAGGGACUCACGUUCUCCACUGUCCCCCCCCCCCAUCAUCCUACAUAAGACGGGCUCAAGGAUCCUCUUGUCUCCUCAGAUAAAGACCUCUGGCUGCCUUCUCUUGUCCUUUUUCACUCCAUAUAACCACAUCAGCAUCAGGCUCGAUGGUGCCAGAGGAGAUUCAGUCUUAACUAGUUGAAAUGGGGGGUGGGGGGGGGUGGGGGGAAGGAACUGGUGAAUCCUAACCUUUCGCCUUGCUGGUUCUCUGAGUGUGUUCCACGUGCUGAGGGCACGGGGACUUUUGGAUAGCAUGUGCACAGCCAGCAUUCCUGCUACCCUGGUGUAUCUAUAACUCUAGGUGGCACUAUGGUGGAGUCUCUGGAGUCCUGCAUUUACAGAUUGACUUUGUGUAGCUCAAUCUACUUGUGAAUUAUUGAGACUAGAUGAAAUUGGUUCUCCGUGUACCCAGUUGGCUUCCUCCUUUACCUCCUGAUAAAACUAAUGAAAAUGGCUGGUGACUGUGUUCAAACUAGUUUAAACUAGGAUUCGUUUAAGUUCUUCAGACUACCCAAGUAUGGUUUAAUCAAAUAGUUCAUUUGACUGGCAUCGAGACAGGUUAAUAGAACCUAACAGAGGGCUGCUCUAAUCAAUGGCCUCUAGUUGUCCGUGGAGAGCCAGUGCUGGAACUGCACCUUAAAGGCACUUAGAGCCAAGUCCAUGGCAUAUGAAUAUACUCUCAAGAGAGCAACCUGAAUAGGGUUUAGAUGGAAAGACUUGGGCUUUUAGUUAGGCAGGAAUAAGCCCGCUUGCAACAUUUUAGUCCACUGUCUAAGAGCUGUGGGUUGACACUGCCUGCUCAGGUCCCCUCAGUCACCCAACCACCUCAGACCACGCAGACCCCCUCACCUUGAUCCGGCUUACUGCUUCCUGGGCCUGCAUCAUGCGUACAUUUUUGGAGGGAGUUUUGUCUGAGAGUAGCUGAGUGGAACCAAGGUAAUUGGCAGCAAAAAUAAUUCCAUCGAUCAAGUCUUCAGGGUCGCACGGUCCAGGAACUGUAACACAGAGAGCCAAGGUAGUGAAUGAUGUCAUGGGGGGAGUACCACAGCCAACCCCCAUGUUCACCGUUUACAUGUGUGGUCUAUCUACCUGCUAGUCUAAGACAUCUUGGAACCAUUUACUAUGAGAAGUGAUGGAUUUAUUUUAAAUAUGAAUCAGAGCCCAAUCGUAAAAAAAUGUCUCUUAGCCAGACCUGUAAUCCUAGUUGCUUGGGAGGCUCAGACAGUCUGUUCAAGGUUUGUCUGUUUGGCACUUGGCUGUCCUGUGAGGCCUUAGGUGAAACGAUGCCUCACUCCCCCAACGUAGUACUGGGGAUGGAUUGGAGGGUGAGCUCUCUGGCAACAAGGGCUAUGUCAUGCUCAUCUUUUACUUCCAUGCCUCUCACGUGUGUCUAUAAACGGUGUGUGUUUGCUUGGGUGAAUGGCUUAGAGGAACAGAAAGCGGUAAUAACGGAAAACACCAUUUCCUGACGCUCCCUAUUUCCUUUUUACCCACUCAAACUUUACGCCUCUGUUUGGACUCUGAUGGAGGAAUCACAUUUUACACAUGAAGAAAAUGGGGGAGUUAAUCUAAACGUGUCUGUCGAUCACCUACCUGGACAGGAAAAUCCCCCUCAGAAAAGCUCCAUGAAACUCUGUGAUACACGGUGCACCAGGAGCUCCGAGCAAGGACACAAGCUUUCCUGCCUUGACCCUCCCUCCACGCGCUCUCAUUCCCCAUCCGGAGAUUCUCCCACACUCUGGAUGGCAGAGCUGCUUGCAGGCCGACAACUGCAGAGUUUGUUUGCCUUCUUGGCCUCGGACUUAGAAAGCAUGUAUUUCUCUCUUUCUCUUAUCCAUCUCCCUCUUCCUGGCAGCCGCUGAGAGCUCCAGUUUGCCUGUUUUUUUGUUUUUUGUUUUUUUUUUCUCUUAAAUUUCAAUAACAUUGUCCUUGAGUUUCCCUACUAGCUCUUUAAAAAAAAAAAGUUACCUGUGAAAUAAAGAAGCUGCAAACGGGACCCCAUGUCCCCUACAUAUAAAUGUGUCCCUACAGUCAUACACUGGCAACUUAACCCCCAACUUCCCAGUGUUAACGGGAACCUUCAUGAGAUGACCAGUUCUUUGAGAUGUUUCGGCUGCUGCUGGAUACAGGUUAACUAUGAAAAGGUGGUGUCCUAGUUAGCUUUAGCUGUCUGUCAGCUUCCACAGCCCAGUGUCAUCCGAGGGAGUACCAACUGGGGGACCGCCUCAGUCAGACUGGCCCGUGGGGUAUUUUCCUGAUUGCUGAUUGAUGCAGGACCGCCUAUCCGACUUUGGACUGUACCAGCCCUGGACAGAGGCUUCUGGGCUGCUUAAGACAGACAGAUGGACAGAAGUGAGCAGCAUUUCUCUGUCUUCAGCUCCAGUUUCAGCCCUGACUUCCCUCAGUGAUGGAGGGGGACCUGGAAGCAUUUUAUAAAAUAACCUCCUUACUGCACAAGUUACUUGGACCAUGCUGUUUAUCAUAGCAACAGAAAUCAAACCUAAAUAGACAAGAGUUCAAACUCCUUUUCCUCCACGCAUGCUCGCCUUCCGCCAUGCUAUCAAAUAGCACACAGGCCCUUGGCAGGUGUCAUGUGGGAAAGCAAAUGAAAAUGAGUUUUAUGUAACAGAGUUAAGCUCUGAGCACACACAUGGUUAUUAGUAUCCGAGGCUCUACACUCAUUCUGGGUGAGGUUCUGUCACCCUGGCUGGCAAACCAGCCUCCUCAAGCACGGUAGCGGACACUGGAGGCACUGGUAUUCACAGGAGCAUCUUGUGCUUAUACUGUCAGGGAACACUUGAACAUUCAAUCCUUCCAGCCUGAACAGCAUCCUGCCUCUACUACUGUUGUAUGUGGAUUUCAAAGGUGUAGGUGUCCAGGCUGAGCCAUGGCACAUGCCUCCAUUCUUCAGUCUGUUCUGAGACUCCGUGGGACUUCUAACUCCCAGCGUUUCCAGAUGGCACUCCCACUUAUGCUUAGCAUUCUGUGUUUACCUGCCUUUAUCCCCUUCUCCUAAUUUGUACACACUGCUACCUUACGUGGCUGAGUUGCUUUCAAUCAACCACAUUCCACUGUAGAAUUAGCUUUGAAAAGCCCCGGAUAUGAGUUUCUUCCCAAUGUAUGUUCACGCUUCUGAAAUUUGAAGCCGAUUAAGAAGUACAUGAUUAUCCACUCUAUAGUAUAACUCAAACAAUAUUAUCAGUGCACACUUGUAUUUCCUUAAUGUGGUGAAGAAGUGAGGUUAGCAUAGGCACCGAAUGAGCAUAAUUAUGUCAUUAAGAUGAGAACAGCUUGGCUUAAUGAGGUGUUUUAUAUACACAUUCAUAAUGGAUUCAAUUAAUACUGCUGGAAUACGGAAAGAACUGGCAGCUCACCUUCUCAAAGCCUCUCUGUUCUCUUCCCACUGAAGACACCCUCCAUUCCCAUCUCUAAGCCCAUAAACCUGUGUGGAAGCUCCCGGGACCCUAGGGAGCUGUGCUUGGCAGCAUUCGGCUCAGAAGGUGAUUUUUAUCAUGGGAACAACACACAACAAUUUUUUUGUUGUUGUUGGAUACUAUCACCAGAGCCCUAAGCUUUUAAAGUCAUGUUCCUAAGGUAAAAGACUAACUAGUUAAUUAUAAACCACUUAUUAGUUAAGAGUAAACCAACCCAUCACCCGACAAAGCUGCAUGUGUCAAUCAAUGGGUUAUCUCUAGCCAAAUAGCUCACUUGACGUAUGUGAAAUGCAUUACACUGGACAAAUGAGAAAGCCUUUCGUUCGUUCACUGCCCUUUCAAGUCCAUGCAUUUCUUGAUGGAUGCCUCAUGACUUCCUGCCUAGGCUCUGAUAGCAAAAUCCAGGCACUUUGAACUUAUAUUCAGAAUUGCAACUGAGGUGAGUGUAACCAAACCAGGUGUGGUGGCACACUCCUCUAAUGCUGGUACUGGAGAAGCUGAGACAGAAAGGACAAAGGAUUUGAGAACGCCCUGGACUAUAUGGUGAGUUCAAAGCUGGCCUGAACUGUAUAGAAAAACCUGUUUUAAACCAAAACAAAGGAGGGAGAUACAGCUGCACUCACAAUGGAGAACAGCCUAUCUGCUAGAAAUGGUAAGAGUUACCGUUUUCAAAGGGCUUACAGUAUGCUCGGCCCGUGCAGGGGCACAUUAUACCUGCCACCUCAUUUUCCAGCCAACUGGUUAUUUGUGCACAAGGCACUAAUAGCUAUUGAUAUGCACUAGCUCUCAGCAGUGAAAGACACCACAGCCUGUAAUGAGGGGUGGGGUGGGGGUGGGGGGGGGACGGGGGUGGAUGCAGGGUCUAGAUGAAUUCAUCUAUUAGAAUGCAGAGAAUAAAAGGCAGCACUGGAGAGAUACAGCAACAAGCACACCUUCCCCAGGUCCUGACUAAGUACAAAAUGCCCCCUGCUCUCUUGGCCACCACUCAAUUUCAAGCUCGUUUUCCUCCAUCCUAAGUAAUGCCUUCUCCUCACCUAUUCCCUACUCUCAAGGGAAAUGCAGAGCAUAGCCUACAGUCUGGCUGGGCCAGGAGCCCAGCACUGAAGUCAGUCAGCACGCCCUGGUGCAGCCCAAGGGGCACAUACCUCUUCUUCAUGACUUUCAAACUGGUACAUCCAGAAGUUCUCCAUCUUCCUGGGUACUGUUUGGGCAGCGGGGUGCGAGCCCUAGUGUAUCCACUUGUGAGCUGCUAUGUGCGCUCCUGAUCUCAGUGCCGCUUGCGGGGUGUGGGGGGGGGGCACUUUUGGUGGUGUCAGGUGCCCUUGUCAAUAAUGCAACUGGUAAUAGGAGAUGUGACCACCUCCAGGGUGUCUGACCCUCCAUAUUAACCCUUCAGUGUCUGGUGGCCAGGACUGACUCGAGUCAUUGGCGCAGCGGCGUCAGCUGAUAUUUCCGAGAGGAAUCUAGCCCACCCUUGCUGUCAGCAGCACCUACUAUUUCUGGGGGAAAAUAAACCCAGAGCAGAGGUGCUACCAGAGACUUUCACACACCCCAGACUCUGCUAUGUUUAUAGAACCUGUGAAGAAGCAUUCAGCUCUGGUGAAGGGAGGGGAGGGAGGUGGCUAGAACUGUUCCUUUCAGGCUUUGAUCAGAACAUACCUGGGUGUGUGGGGAGAACUUAGGGAAUUCUGGUCAGCCCCUGGCAGGGCCCCAGCGGCACAGGCUGCUGGGAGUAUACCACCCCGAACUGACUGUAUGCUCUGUCACUGUGCUCUGACAACUGUGUGCCACAAGGGAGAGGGGGCUCUGACAGACCAGAAAAGAGCUGCCUCAUGGUUAGCAUGGCUUGGACCAAACAAACUGAGGACCCCAAAUUAGGCUGAAAACCCAACUGUAUCUAUCUGUAGGGCCAGUUCCAACAAGAGGAAGGACAGGGUACAUCUGGGUAGAACUGAUGUGGGGGAAACAGAGGGAAGCUGAGGAGGGGCCUGGGUGCACCGAGGCCCUCAAGGAGCAUCAACUUCCUAGUCACCAAGCCCUCUGUCAGACCUGUUAGCUGGGCUCCCUCUGAGGCUACCUACCUAGUCAAUGAGCUGUGGACCGCACUAAAUGGUAGAACAAACCACACAGGAUCUAAAGCAAUCUACGGCUGGAAAACCAGCCAUUCUUACUGCCAGUUUCCCAUGU